AUGGCCUCCGCCGCGAGAUCCUGCGCCGUCGCCCACUUCACCGCCGACGAGGCGGCCCCGCCUGAGACCCUCCACGUCAUGCGCCUGCAGCGGCUGCGGCUCCGCCGCGCGGCCGCGGGCUGCCUGGACCCCAUCGCCGAGGAGGAGGACUCCGACGCCGACGACGCCCAAGUCCCCGCCGGCUCGCCCAGCGCCCACAGCAGCAGCAGGAGGAGAGCGGCCGUUGACCUUGCCCGCUGCCUUCGGUAG
rnacentral:rRNA from 1 species